rnacentral:rRNA from 1 species
UCGACGCGCAGCGAGAGGUGCUUGCACCUUUCAAGCGAGUGGCGAACGGGUGAGUAACACGUGGAUAACCUGCCUCAAGGCUGGGGAUAACAUUUGGAAACAGAUGCUAAUACCGAAUAAAACUUAGUAUCGCAUGAUAUCAAGUUAAAAGGCGCUACGGCGUCACCUAGAGAUGGAUCCGCGGUGCAUUAGUUAGUUGGUGGGGUAAAGGCUUACCAAGACAAUGAUGCAUAGCCGAGUUGAGAGACUGAUCGGCCACAUUGGGACUGAGACACGGCCCAAACUCCUACGGGAGGCUGCAGUAGGGAAUCUUCCACAAUGGGCGCAAGCCUGAUGGAGCAACGCCGCGUGUGUGAUGAAGGCUUUCGGGUCGUAAAGCACUGUUGUAUGGGAAGAAAUGCUAAAAUAGGGAAUGAUUUUAGUUUGACGGUACCAUACCAGAAAGGGACGGCUAAAUACGUGCCAGCAGCCGCGGUAAUACGUAUGUCCCGAGCGUUAUCCGGAUUUAUUGGGCGUAAAGCGAGCGCAGACGGUUGAUUAAGUCUGAUGUGAAAGCCCGGAGCUCAACUCCGGAAUGGCAUUGGAAACUGGUUAACUUGAGUGUUGUAGAGGUAAGUGGAACUCCAUGUGUAGCGGUGGAAUGCGUAGAUAUAUGGAAGAACACCAGUGGCGAAGGCGGCUUACUGGACAACAACUGACGUUGAGGCUCGAAAGUGUGGGUAGCAAACAGGAUUAGAUACCCUGGUAGUCCACACCGUAAACGAUGAAUACUAGGUGUUAGGAGGUUUCCGCCUCUUAGUGCCGAAGCUAACGCAUUAAGUAUUCCGCCUGGGGAGUACGACCGCAAGGUUGAAACUCAAAGGAAUUGACGGGGACCCGCACAAGCGGUGGAGCAUGUGGUUUAAUUCGAAGCAACGCGAAGAACCUUACCAGGUCUUGACAUCCUUUGAAGCUUUUAGAGAUAGAAGUGUUCUCUUCGGAGACAAAGUGACAGGUGGUGCAUGGUCGUCGUCAGCUCGUGUCGUGAGAUGUUGGGUUAAGUCCCGCAACGAGCGCAACCCUUAUUGUUAGUUGCCAGCAUUCAGUUGGGCACUCUAGCGAGACUGCCGGUGACAAACCGGAGGAAGGCGGGGACGACGUCAGAUCAUCAUGCCCCUUAUGACCUGGGCUACACACGUGCUACAAUGGCGUAUACAACGAGUUGCCAACCUGCGAAGGUGAGCUAAUCUCUUAAAGUACGUCUCAGUUCGGACUGCAGUCUGCAACUCGACUGCACGAAGUCGGAAUCGCUAGUAAUCGCGGAUCAGCACGCCGCGGUGAAUACGUUCCCGGGUCUUGUACACACCGCCCGUCACACCAUGGGAGUUUGUAAUGCCCAAAGCCGGUGGCCUAA